rnacentral:rRNA from 1 species
AUUGAACGCUGGCGGCAGGCCUAACACAUGCAAGUCGAGCGGACGAAGGGAGCUUGCUCCUGGAUUAAGCGGCGGACGGGCGAGUAAUGCCUAGGAAUCUGCCUGGUCGUGGGGGAUAACGUCCGGAAACGGGCGCUAAUACCGCAUACGUCCUGAGGGUGAAAGUGGGGGAUCUUCGGACCUCACGCUAUCAGAUGAGCCUAAGUCGGAUUAGCUAGUUGGUGGGGUAAAGGCCUACCAAGGCGACGAUCCGUAACUGAUCUGAGAGGAUGAUCAGUCACACUGGAACUGAGACACGGUCCAGACUCCUACGGGAGGCAGCAGUGGGGAAUAUUGGACAAUGGGCGAAAGCCUGAUCCAGCCAUGCCGCGUGUGUGAAGAAGGUCUUCGGAUUGUAAAGCACUUUUAGUUGGGAGGAAGAACAGUAAGUUAAUACCUUGCUGUUUUGACGUUACCUACAGAAUAAGCACCGGCUAACUUCGUG